rnacentral:rRNA from 1 species
AGGUUUCCGUAGGUGAACCUGCGGAAGGAUCAUUACUGAACGAAAUGGGUGGCAAGGCUGUCGCUGGCUUAAAUGAGCAUGUGCACGUCUUUUUGUCGCUUACUUCAUUCUCUCUUCCACCUGUGCACUCUUUGUAGACACUUGGGAUGUGAGAGAGGGGUUGGCAUUGAUUUGUCGGACUUCUCUUGAUAUUGAAAAUCUGGGUGUUUAUGUAUUUUUUGACAUACACGGUUGAAUGUCUAUAGAAUGAAAUUAUAGGCUCUUGUCAGCCUUUAAAUGAUAAAAUACAACUUUCAACAACGGAUCUCUUGGCUCUCGCAUCGAUGAAGAACGCAAGCGAAAUGCGAUAAGUAAUGUGAAUUGCAGAAUUCAGUGAAUCAUCGAAUCUUUGAACGCAUCUUGCGCUCCUUGGUAUUCCGAGGAGCAUGCCUGUUUGAGUGUCAUUAAAUAUCUCAAAACUCUUGUGCUUUUGUUGGCAUAGGACUUUUGGACAUUGGGAGUUGCCGGCUGCUGGUAAAGUAGUGGGCUCUUCUGAAAAGCAUUAGUUGAGGAGCUUUGCACUCUUAUUGGUGUGAUAAACUAUCUAUGCCAAGAGAUGCUUCAUGAUCCUCUGCCGUCUAACUGUCUUUAUAAGACAAUAUGAUAAACUUGACCUCAAAUCAGGUAGGACUACCC